AUUGAACGCUGGCGGCAGGCUUAACACAUGCAAGUCGAACGAGUGGCGGACGGGUGAGUAAUGCUUGGGAAUCUAGCUUAUGGAGGGGGAUAACUACUGGAAACUGUAGCUAAUACCGCGUACCAUCGGAUGUGCCCAAGUGGGAUUAGGUAGUUGGUGAGGUAAAGGCUCACCAAGCCGACGAUCUCUAGCUGGUCUGAGAGGAUGACCAGCCACACUGGGACUGAGACACGGCCCAGACUCCUACGGGAGGCAGCAGUGGGGAAUAUUGCGCAAUGGGGGCAACCUGAGACAGCCAUGCCGCGUGAAUGAAGAAGGCCUUCGGGUUGUAAAGUACUUUCGGUAGCGAGGCGUUAACUACAGAAGAAGCACCGGCUAACUCCGUGCCAGCCGCCGCGGUAAUUC
rnacentral:rRNA from 1 species